GCUAGUGUAGCUUAAUUUAAAGUAUGGCACUGAAAAUGCUAAGAUGAAAAUUAAAAAUUUUCCGCAGGCA
rnacentral:tRNA from 2 species